rnacentral:rRNA from 1 species
AUUGAACGCUGGCGGCAUGCCUUACACGUGCAAGUCGAACGGUAACAGGUUAAGCUGACGAGUGGCGAACGGGUGAGUAACGUAUCGGAACGUGCCCAGUCGUGGGGGAUAACUGCUCGAAAGAGCAGCUAAUACCGCAUACGACCUGAGGGUGAAAGCGGGGGAUCGCAAGACCUCGCGCGAUUGGAGCGGCCGAUAUCAGGUUAGGUAGUUGGUGGGGUAAAGGCUCACCAAGCCGACGAUCUGUAGCUGGUCUGAGAGGACGACCAGCCACACUAGGACUGAGACACGGCCCAGACUCCUACGGGAGGCAGGAGUGGGGAAUUUUGGACAAUGGGCGCAAGCCUGAUCCAGCCAUGCCGCGUGCGGGAAGAAGGCCUUCGGGUUGUAAACCGCUUUUGUCAGGGAAGAAAAGGUUCUGGCUAAUACCUGGGACUCAUGACGGUACCUGAAGAAUAAGCACCGGCUAACUACGUGCCAGCCGCCGCCGUAACAC